UACGUAGGGGGCUAGCGUUGUCCGGAAUCAUUGGGCGUAAAGAGCGCGUAGGCGGCCAGACAAGUCCGGUGUGAAAGUCACAGGCUCAACCUGUGAAUGCCGCUGGAAACUGUCUGGCUAGAGUCCGGAAGGGGCGAGUGGAAUUCCUGGUGUAGCGGUGAAAUGCGCAGAUAUCAGGAAGAACACCAAUGGCGAAAGCAGCUCUCUGGGACGGUACCGACGCUGAGACGCGAAAGCGUGGGGAGCGAACAGG
rnacentral:rRNA from 1 species